AAAGUUUAUGGAUAACCCGGAAAUUAGCAGUUCUAUUGGCUUAUUCCAAGUCAAUGUUCUUUCCUAUUUUGUUAAAAACAAAUAGAGCUGAGUACAUGGUAUAUGAUGGUCCUCCCAAUACAACAGAGGAAAUUAUAUAUUUGAAGUAGGC